rnacentral:rRNA from 1 species
AUUGAACGCUGGCGGCAGGCUUAACACAUGCAAGUCGAGCGGGGGAAGGUAGCUUGCUACCGGACCUAGCGGCGGACGGGUGAGUAAUGCUUAGGAAUCUGCCUAUUAGUGGGGGACAACAUCUCGAAAGGGAUGCUAAUACCGCAUACGUCCUACGGGAGAAAGCAGGGGAUCUUCGGACCUUGCGCUAAUAGAUGAGCCUAAGUCGGAUUAGCUAGUUGGUGGGGUAAAGGCCUACCAAGGCGACGAUCUGUAGCGGGUCUGAGAGGAUGAUUCGCCACACUGGGACUGAGACACGGCCCAGACUCCUACGGGAGGCAGCAGUGGGGAAUAUUGGACAAUGGGGGGAACCCUGAUCCAGCCAUGCCGCGUGUGUGAAGAAGGCCUUAUGGUUGUAAAGCACUUUAAGCGAGGAGGAGGCUACUCUAGUUAAUACCUAGUGAUAGUGGACGUUACUCGCAGAAUAAGCACCGGCUAACUCUGUGCCAGCAGCCGCAGUAA